rnacentral:misc_RNA from 1 species
AACGCAUAUUGCGCUCUUUGGUAUUCCGAAGAGCAUGCUUGUUUGAGUAUCAGUAAACACCUCAAAGACUUCAAUUUGUUUUGAAUGGCUUUGGACUUGAGCAAUCCCAACACCAGUCUUUACGACCGGUGGAGGGUUGCUUGAAAUGCAGGUGCAGCUGGACAUUCUCCUGAGCUAAAAGCAUAUUUAUUUAGUCCCGUCAAACGGAUUAUUACUUUUGCUGCAGCUAACAUAAAGGGAGUUUGACCGUAUUGGCUGACUGAUGCAGGAUUUCACAAGGGUCGGCAACGAUUCUUGUAAAACUCGAUCUCAAAUCAAGUAAGACUACCCGCUGAACUUAA